GAAAUGCGAUAAGUAAUGUGAAUUGCAGAAUUCAGUGAAUCAUCGAAUCUUUGAACGCACCUUGCACUCCUUGGUAUUCCGAGGAGUAUGCCUGUUUGAGUGUCAUUAACUUCUCAAACCUUUCAAGUUUUUCUUGUUAAAGGCUUUGGAUGUGAGGGUCUUGCUGGUACCUCUUAUGGAUCAGCUCCCUUGAAAUGUAUUAGUGGUUACUUGGUCCGCUUUCAUUUGGUGUGAUAGUUAUCUACGCCUUUGAAAYGAUCACUCUGCUAUCCGCUUCUAACCGUCUAUCCUUAUAGACAGCUCUCUUGAACCUUUUGACCUCAAAUCAGGUAGGACUACCCGCUGAACUUAA
rnacentral:rRNA from 1 species